rnacentral:rRNA from 1 species
AAAAUUGGACAAUGGGCGCAAGCCUGAUCCAGCCAUGCCGCGUGAGUGAAGAAGGCCUUCGGGUUGUAAAGCUCUUUCGGACGGAAAGAAAUCGCGCAGGCUAAUACCCUGCGAGGAUGACCGUACCGGCAUAAGAAGCAACUGCCAACCACGUGCCAGCAGCCGCGGUAAUACGUAGGGUGCGAGCGUUAAGCGGAAUUAGUGGGCGUAAAGCGUGCGCAGGCGGUUGGUUAAGGCAGGCGUGAAAUCCCCGGGCUUAACCUGGGAACUGCGCUUGUGACUGGUCGACUAGAGUACGGCAGAGGGGGGUGGAAUUCCACGUGUAGCAGUGAAAUGCGUAGAGAUGUGGAGGAACACCGAUGGCGAAGGCAGCCCCCUGGGCCGAUACUGACGCUCAUGCACGAAAGCGUGGGUAGCAAACAGG